AUCAUCUUGAACAUAGCAACACAGUGCAGCUUCUUAAAGAAUCCAGGCCAUUGAAGAGCUAGAAGAGAAAGGAUAAGGACAUCCAGGAGAGGGUGGAAAGAGAAAGUUGACCAUCACUAAACUGAAUUUUUUUCUUCCUCUUUAUGUAGGUGUCAAAAGGAUUUGAUAUUGUGGAACUGUGGUGAAAGAGGAGACUGGGCAGUUAGUUAUGGCUGCAUAAACAGUGCCUCUCCAGAAGUCCUCAGAGGGACAGCCAUUCUACUGGAAAGAUGGGCAAGGACUUUUCACCUGAUUCUAUUAUUCAGAACACGCUGUUGGGAGGGUUGGCCAUCCGGGCCACGGGAAGAAGGUUCUGCUCUGGCCUCUUCAAGGGCCAAAGAAGGUGGAUGCUGAUGGAAAUCACACAUGUGGCCAAACCUCCCCAGAAGCAGCAGCCUGGUCAGAGGUCAUAUGGCUCCUUUCCAGUAACAGGUGGCACUCGGUCUUCAGAAUGGCCUCUACUUGUCAAGAGAGUUUGAAUCAAGAGACAUUCAGGGUAAAACACUGUCACUUUGCAUUUUAUUUUCUGUAAAGCCAACUCCACGCUAUUCAACAGCUGCCUUUUUGAAAUAAGCCUGGAAUAAUAGGUGUCAUAGGUAUCAGAAACAGUCUCUACUCUUUCAACUGUGUGAGUUACUGUUGUUUCAAAUUACAUUUCACUAUACCACAUAACAGAUGUAUCACACACACUUAAUCUCACGCAUGCUUACACACACAUGUAGACAUGUGCAGGUAGUCAGAGAGGGAAGCUUAAAGAAUUGAUGCUAACAUCUAAAUGAAGGAAUAGUCAUUAAUAAAACAGAUUCCUAUUUACACUCUUCUACUAUUAUGCAGGAUAAUCAUUUGUUAAUUAAUUAAUAUGCUGGACUUGAAAGUGGCUCUCAUUGGUGUUGGAUCACAAAAUGUUUGUCCUCCCUCCACAUUCCUCCCAACUGGGAAAAGUAAAAGAUAUGCAGUUCACACAUGGUUGUGAAAUUCAAACACAUUUUAAAAGAGUCUAUAGGCAGCAAUUCUAACCUAAAGGGUUAAUAUAGAAACCAUUGAUCACAGAAAUCUAAAUAGGUCCUAACUAACGAAGGGACUCAACCAUUCCCUGCUUGAGGGAAUUGCCCACGUUCCAGAUGGUAGACUUGACAUUCACACACCAUGCAAAAACAUAGGUACAAUACAGAGACCCUGGGGUGUCGCCUGGAGCUCCAACGAUGUCAUCAGAAACAAAAACAUGACAUCUGACAAGCGCGUGAUCUAACACUAUGACCUAUAUGGAAGAUUUUAGGACUGCCAUUUAUUCUCCCAUACGUAAAGGGGACCCACAGGGUGACCACCUGGAGGUGCACACGUGCUUUUUCUCCACGCAUACCCUUUAUUUCAAGGGUCGUAUUUGUAGCUCCCCCAGGAAAGGAUCAAAGGCCAAGGGUGGGUGGCCCAGACUCUUGUUUGGACUGGAGAGCACAGACAACAGCUGCAGCAUAUCACUGAGAUUGACUGCUGACAGGAAAAUGCAUUGACAAUUUCAUCAGAUCUCAUAGAUCAGUAACAACAGAACACCCUCCCACUAAUUGGUGGCCACCAUGGUAGCUACAGUUGGUUUGAUUGAAAUCAAUAUUUAGAAAUUUUUUAAAUUGUGGUAAAAUACAUGUAACAUAAAAUUUGCCAUAUUAACCAUUUUUAAGUGUACAGUUGAGUAGUAUUAAGUACAUUCACACUGUUGUGCAACCAAUCUCCAUCUUGCAAAACUGAAACUCUGUACCCAUUAAAUAAUAACUCACCAUUUCCUCUUCCCGCCAGCCCCUGGAAACCACCAUUCUACUUUCUGUCUCUAUCAAUUUGACUACUCUGGGUAUCUCAGAUAAGUGGAGUCAUACAGUAUUUGUCCUUUUGUGACUGGCUUAUUUCACUUAGCAUAAUGUCCUCAAGGUUCAUCCACGUUGUAGCAUGUGUCAGAAUUUCCUUCCUUUCUAAGUCUGAAUAAUAUUCCAUUGAAUGUAUAUACCACAUUUUGUUUAUCCAUUCAUCUGUCAUUGAACACUUGGAUUGCUUAUAUCUUUAGCUAUUGUGAAUAAUACUGUCAUGAAAAUGGGUGUACGAAAUCAGUAUUUUUAAUUACAACGGUAAAAGGCUUAUAUUCCAUUUCAUGACUAACCUACUAUCUGAUCCUCAAUAAGUCAUAUAUUUCGUAGAGAGAAUAAAAUUGUUCUAAUUCAGGGAGCCCUUUUAAGACCCAUAAUACUCUGAUACAGCUGAGUGGAAUUAGAUAAUCUAUGGGCAUGGAACAGAAAUAAAUCUAACUGGUCUAUAAAUCUA